ACCCAGGAAGGGGUUGGAGGCCAGGGGACACCUCUGCCCAGGAAGCUGAACAAAGGCUGGGGAAGGAGACGCUGGGGAGUGAAAGGAGUUUCAGGAGCUGGCUGAGGAAUGGAGGGAAGCACAGACAGGGCUCUGACCCCCCAAGGGGGCAGUGGUGCUCCUGGGACCCCAAGAGGGACCUAAUUGGGGAGGAUCCUGCUGUUUGUGCCUGCAAGACCUGUCUGGGCCUGUGUGCCUGUCAGCUAAAUAAACCUUCUGCUUUACUGGCUGGCUGAGAGCCCUGGUGAAUGGCAGGAAGCCGGGGGUGCAGAGCCCUGACUUCCCCACACUCCGUGACAGCUCCAGUACAAAGAGGCUUGUACACCAGCCAACAUCUCGCCCAGCCUGGGGUCCCUGCGCCGCGGUUUCUCGUGGAAAUCAGGUGAGGAUGCUCUUAUCUUGGUUUUCUCUUUUGUCUGGGUGAAACGGUCCCCUUCCCCAUGGUCACAGCCUUCUGUUGGGGUGUUUCUCCCAGGACUCAGCCUAUCCCCAGAGUGCCAGCUUCUUGGCACCACCAGCAUUGAGGUGUGUGGUGUGUGCACAGCGACACUCCGAGAAAUUGGUGUUGAUAAAACUCGGUGUGGAAACCAGAGGGGGAUUUUCCUGCAGCUGUUCCCUAGCAAAUGGAGACAUACCUUGGAAAGGGGCCAGUGGGACUGGCCUUCAGCUUCUUGGUUCAUCACCAAAAAUGUUCUUUCGGUCCCCUGCUUUUUCCCAUCUAUCUCUGGGUCGUUCCUGGUGGGGAAAGUGAGGAGGCUAAGGGCACACUCUGCCUUCGCUGACUCCUUUGUUAAGUGGAAUGAUCAGUUGUGA
rnacentral:lncRNA from 1 species